rnacentral:tRNA from 6 species
GCCGGUGUAGCUCAACGUUAGAGCAGCUGAUCUGUAAUCAGCAGAUGGAGUGUUCGAUUCCUCCCGCCGGCUCCC